GCUGUGCAUAUAGUUCAGUUGGUAGAGUACUUGCCUUGCAUGUGCAAGGCCCUGGGUUCAAUCCCCAGCACAACA
rnacentral:tRNA from 1 species